GAUUUUAACACGAAGUGAGUGGCGAACGGGUGAGUAACACGUGGGUAACCUGCCCAGAAGUAGGGGAUAACACCUGGAAACAGAUGCUAAUACCGUAUAACAGAGAAAACCGCAUGGUUUUCUUUUGAAAGAUGGCUCUGCUAUCACUUCUGGAUGGACCCGCGGCGUAUUAGCUAGUUGGUGAGGUAAAGGCUCACCAAGGCAGUGAUACGUAGCCGACCUGAGAGGGUAAUCGGCCACAUUGGGACUGAGACACGGCCCAGACUCCUACGGGAGGCAGCAGUAGGGAAUCUUCCACAAUGGACGCAAGUCUGAUGGAGCAACGCCGCGUGAGUGAAGAAGGGUUUCGGCUCGUAAAGCUCUGUUGUUAAAGAAGAACGUGGGUAAG
rnacentral:rRNA from 1 species